UUUGCAUAUAGCUCAGUUGGUAGAGCAUGAGACUCUUAAUCUCAGGGUCAUGGAUUCCAGCCGCACGUUAGGAAAA